rnacentral:rRNA from 1 species
CGUCUAUAUACGUAUAGCAUAUCAAUAAGCGGAGGAAAAGAAACUAACUAGGAUUCCCUUAGUAACGGCGAGUGAAGCGGGAAGAGCUCAAAUUUGAAAUCUUCAAGGUUUUACCUUGACGAAUUGUAGUUUAAAGAAGUGGUUUCUGUUGGAGUUUUGGUAAAAGUUCUUUGGAAUAGGACAUCAUAGAGGGUGAGAAUCCCGUAUUUGACCGUUACUUUCCAGCUGUGUGAUACACUUUCAAAGAGUCGGAUUGUUUGGGAAUGCAGUCCAAAAUGGGUGGUAAAUUUCAUCUAAAGCUAAAUAUUGGCGAGAGACCGAUAGCGAACAAGUACCGUGAGGGAAAGAUGAAAAGAACUUUGAAAAGAGAGUUAAACAGUACGUGAAAUUGUCAAAAGGGAAGCGUUUGACACCAGUGUUGUUUUCUCGAAAAUCAAUUAAAAAUGACCGGAUUUUGUGUUGUAUUGACUUUAUCAGCUUUCUGCACUUUUUUCUUGUCUUUCUUAAUGCACUUUUCGUUUAACAAGUCAACAUCAAUUUCUUUUGUUAGUAAAAGGGUAUGAGGAAGGUGGCUUUCUUUUCGGAGAAAGUGUUUAUAGCCUUGUGCCUCUGCAAUCGGAGAGAUUGAGGUCUGCAGCGUAGAUCCUUCGGGGUUAGAUACGUUUGUGCUAAGUUAUAGUUUUUUAUAGACAACUUGUUGACUAUGUUAAGUCUUGUAGCUUACUCGCUUAUGCUAUUUUACCUACGCUUAGGAUGUUGAGUCAUCACACAUCUCU